rnacentral:rRNA from 1 species
UACGUAGGGUGCAAGCGUUGUCCGGAAUUAUUGGGCGUAAAGAGCUCGUAGGCGGUCUGUCACGUCUGCUGUGAAAACUCGGGGCUUAACCCCGGGCCUGCAGUGGGUACGGGCAGACUAGAGUGCGGUAGGGGAGACUGGAAUUCCUGGUGUAGCGGUGAAAUGCGCAGAUAUCAGGAGGAACACCGGUGGCGAAGGCAGGUCUCUGGGCCGCAACUGACGCUGAGGAGCGAAAGCAUGGGGAGCGAACAGG